rnacentral:tRNA from 1 species
GGUUCUUUAGCUUAGCUGGUUAAAGCCCUCCGCUCAUAACGGAGUUACCGCUGGUUCGAGUCCAGCAAGAACCA